UGGGGAAUAUUGCGCAAUGGGGGGAACCCGUGACGCAGCAACGCCGCGUGAAGGAUGAAGGUUUUCGGAUUGUAAACUUCUUUGAUGAGGGACGAAAGAAAUGACGGUACCUCAAAAACAAGCCACGGCUAACUACGUGCC
rnacentral:rRNA from 1 species